rnacentral:lncRNA from 1 species
UUCAUUUGGUUUGAAUAACCAAGCAUAUAGGCUGUGGGAGCUCACAACAGCUAAAGCUACAGUAGCUCUCAAGUCUCAAUACAAGACGUGUGUAAACUCAGCUAGGUUUAUAAUUACUUUUUGUUGCUGUCUAAUUUUUUUGUCCAAAUAUCUCUAUUAGGAACGACAGUUCAACUUUUUUGAAAAAAAUAUUACAUACUACUCAAUUUACAAAUAGCAAAGCCUAUAGAAAUAUACGUAUAAUCAAAAUCUAAAGUGUAUAAUUGAAUACCAACAUAGAAAAUCAAAGAAAAUAACUCUCAUAACUAUUAGAAGGCCUCUAAUCCUCCACCUUAGAGUUAAAAGGAGGUUAUGCCACCAAUCCUCUUGGAAUGAACGCACAAAUCUUUCAUUUUAAGUUGCCAUAUCAAGUCAUGCGUGUAGCUACUUCCUUGCUCAUUUCAAAAUUAAUUUCACCAUCCCUUAGGACUUAGAAAAACAAAUGACAUACAACAUUAUCUCUUAUAUCCCCAAAUAAUUAAAAAAAAACCCUUAAAAAAAAAGAUAGAUAGAGAGACUAAGUAUGUCAAAUUUUAAAACGUUACAUUAGAAAUCUACCUAACCAAUAAAGUGUUGGCUCCACUGGCAAUGGAGUCCCCUUAAGUGGAUUGACUGGGUUUGCUCCCCAGUUCGAGUCACAGGGAAGUCGCCUUUGUUGGGAGAACCUGUGCCUCUCGGUUCGAGCGGGGACUUCUAGUCUAGGUUGUGGUACAGGCUUAAAGGUGCCUACAACAGUUGGGGCCCUCCCCAGGAUACCUCGUGGUCAAAAUAAAAAAAAAAAUCUACCUAUAUAUUAGGGUACACAUGAGGGUUUGAUACUCAUUUUCCCUUUAAGAAUAAACACCCAAAACAUUAAGAUUUGCAUUAAUGCAUAGAAUUUUAUGGAUGACUGCAUAACAAACUGAUAACGAAUAUAACCAAGUUUAUUAGUUCGG